AAUAAUAUAAUAUUAUUAAUUUGAUAUCUCGAUAGAUUUAAAUUUUGAACUUGAAGUUGUUGCCUGUUUAUAAUGUCAAUAAAAACAAACGCCGUAGUAACUUUGAUAAUUAUCGAGUCAGUUGUCUUUUACAUUCUGUCGAAUAAACAUUGAAAUUUUGUUUGGAGCAGGAUAUGUAUCGUACGAGGAUUAACAUAUACUCAAUCAAUAAAGGAAUCGCAAAGUGGUGUAUCAUUAAACAAAGAAAAAGUAAUCGCGAACUAAAAGCAUUGUUUGUUCGUUCGCGUUUCGUUGAAUUUAAAAAGCAAGUGUAUUUGAAUCGAUUGCCUGUAAGAUGUAAUCAUUAAAAUCAGUGUUCGCAAUGUUUUCUUUUUUCUUUUUUAACAAUCGUAUUAAAGAUUGUAUUAAAUAAAAGAUAAAUUAGUAAAGUCUCGCGAAUUAAAUUCAGUGACCGUCCGAUAAUAAAUAACUACCGCGUAUUAGAAUCAAUGAAUCAGAGAAGAGGAUCUCAACCAACUUCGAUGUCGACCUAUCUCAUUUUCAACCAUCUACGAAUCCAACCACCUUCAAUUUCGACCUAAAUCGCAGACGAGUGUUUUGGAGCCAUCGCGGAACUUCUUAAGUAGCUGAAUCAUCGAGGGAUGGAUUUGUCUGCAAUUGAGUGAUUAAGCAACAAGGAUUUGAUAUAUCGACGCGGAUAUCCGAUAUUUUGUUUAUGUGCUCGCGAUUUGUAAUCGUAAGAUUACAUAUUUAGACGGAAGCUUACGAAACCUUUCCGCAUUAUAUAAAGAGAGGAAAUGUCUCCUUUCUUUUGUACGAAUAGAAUAAAAAGAAGAUCCAUGCCCGCGUUAGUGGACACCAGAUGUGGAUAUUCAUGCAUCCGAUUAAAUGGACUACCGUGGACUUCGUUUUAUUGUUUGAAAUUCGGUCCUGUUAUUCAUAAGCGAGAACUGAUCCUCUUACAGAUAGCGUUGGUAGCUUGAAUUCUCUAUAAAUAGCAUUGUUCUUCCGAUACCGAGAAUUUUAGAGUAGAAUCAUCGUCAACCUCAUCGUAGGUCUUCAAAUGCAGCAACCUCCACGUGGUGAGAUUUGGAUCUUUACUAUUUACGAUAUAUCGAAAUCUAAUUCGAAAGCAAAUACUAUCGGGCGAAUGGUUGUACAUUUUCGAUCUAAUUCUAACUAAAUAUCAUUAAAGUAUUAACACUUUACGUUGCUAAUAAUAUUUCAACGGAUAAAUAUAUUAUAUAUGGCAGAAUUCUAAAAUAAUUUCUUAGAGAAACUCAUUGAAAAAUUCGAAUUAUUCCUUACUUGUUCUCACUUAUACUUAUCAGAUUAAAUACUAUAUCUUCUAUUCUAUUUACGUACGCCAUUAUAUAUGCAUUAAAUAUUUUCUAUCUAUCGUUGUUGUUAUUAUCUCUUUUAUAUGAUAUGUAUUCUAUCGCGAAUGAUAUCCAACUAAUGGUUACUUAAAUAUGCUUUAACUAUUAGUAUAAGUAAUUAAUAAGAAAUUCAAAAAUAUAAAAACUUUCUACAAUUAACAAAUACUUUUCAAUUAGUCUAUCUUCAGAAAAGUAUAAUAUAGCAUAUGGUUUUUUUCUUGCUUUUAUCAGACGCGCGAUUCCACGUUAAUCCGAUUUUUAAUGGGAGUUAAUAGAGUAUAUAACUUCCACAAGCUUAUACACCGAUAAAACAGAUGCAUAGUGGGAAUGGUAUUUCCCUAUUAUACUUGUAGUUCAUAUUUUGUCCAUAAAUGUCGCUAAAGUCACAUAUGGUACGAUCGAAAAAGGUGGAGAACUGUUUUAUACUACGUAAAUAUAUCAUGUUUAAAAUCAUAUUUGAAAAAUCCCAUUUCGUAUUUGUUGUAUUAAAAUAUGACGUAUACGAUAAUCAAACACAUUAUAAUUUUUUAUUUUCAUAAGUGCAUGAAAACAAAUAAUUACCACGAAAUAAUAAUUAAAUAUAACUUAAAGAAAUAUCAUUUUUAUGACUAAAAUAGAUUUAACAAAAUAUCAGCGAAUAAUGAUUACCAUAAAUUUACAAAUGGAUAAAAUCAA